rnacentral:snRNA from 1 species
GUGCUUGCUUCAGCAGCACAUAUACUAAAAUUGGAACUAUACAGAGAAGAUUAGUGUGGCCUUUGCGCAAGGAUGUCAGGCAAAUUUGUGAAGCAUUCCAUGUUUUA